AGGCUAUAUGGUAUCAGUUAGUUGGUGAGGUAAGAGCUCACCAAGACAAUGACACCUAGCUGGUCUGAGAGGAUGAUCAGCCACACUGGAACUGAGACACGGUCCAGACUCCUACGGGAGGCAGCAGUGGGGAAUAUUGCACAAUGGGGGAAACCCUGAUGCAGCAACGCCGCGUGGAGGAUGACGCAUUUCGGUGUGUAAACUCCUUUUAUAUGGGAAGAUAAUGACGGUACCAUAUGAAUAAGCACCGGCUAACUCCGUGCCAGCAGCCGCGGUAAUACGGAGGGUGCAAGCGUUACUCGGAAUCACUGGGCGUAAAGCGCGCGCAGGCGGUUUGAUAAGUUGGAAGUGAAAUCCACUGGCUAAACCAGUGAACUGCUUCCAAAACUGUCAGACUAGAGUGUGGGAGGGGAAGAUGGAAUUAGUUGUGUAGGGGUAAAAUCCGUAGAGAUAACUAGGAAUACCAAAAGCGAAGGCGAUCUUCUGGAACACUACUGACGCUGAGGCGCGAAAGCAUGGGGAGCAAACAGGAUUAGAUACCCUGGUAGUCCAUGCCCUAAACGAUGAAUGUUAGUCGUUGGUAUGCUCGUCAUAUCAGUGAUGCACUUAACAGAUUAAACAUUCCGCCUGGGGAGUACGGUCGCAAGAUUAAAACUCAAAGGAAUAGACGGGGACCCGCACAAGUGGUGGAGCAUGUGGUUUAAUUCGAAUACGCGAAGAACCUUACCUAGCCUUGACAUUGAUAGAAUCCGUUAGGGAUAAUGGAGUGCCAGUUUACUGGAACUUGAAAACAGGUGCUGCACGGCUGUCGUCAGCUCGUGUCGUGAGAUGUUGGGUUAAGUCCCGCAACGAGCGCAACCCUCGUCACUAGUUACUAACGGUUAGGCCGAGGACUCUAGUGAGACUGCCUUCGCAAGGAGGAGGAAGGUGAGGACGACGUCAAGUCAUCAUGGCCCUUACGGCUAGGGCGACACACGUGCUACAAUGGUUAGGACAAUGAGAGGCAAUACCGCGAGGUGGAGCAAAUCUAUAAACCUAAUCUCAGUUCGGAUUGUAGUCUGCAACUCGACUACAUGAAGCUGGAAUCACUAGUAAUCGUAGAUCAGCCAUGCUACGGUGAAUACGUUCCCGGGUCUUGUACUCACCGCCCGUCACACCAUGGGAGUUGAUUUUACCCGAAGCGGGGAAGCUAAACUGGCUACCCUCCACGGUGGAAUUAGCGACUGGGGUGAAGUC
rnacentral:rRNA from 1 species